UAGAUCAGUAAGACUGCAGUAUCCACUAGAAAUCGAUCACAUAUAGAUUUUUAUUUCUCCAUCUGAGGAGUGUGAGAGAUUCAAAAAAAUGGUAGGAGACUUAUUUGAUUUUAAAAGUCACUAAAAUAAAUAUUUAAUAAGUACAAACAUCUAAUUAAAAACUAUUCUCUUUACAGAUAACCAUGUCGAGUGCCAACCCUUUAGCCCAUAUCCUUGAC
rnacentral:lncRNA from 1 species